rnacentral:rRNA from 1 species
GAUGAACGCUGGCGGCGUGCCUAAUACAUGCAAGUCGAGCGAACAGACGAGGAGCUUGCUCCUUUGACGUUAGCGGCGGACGGGUGAGUACCACGUAGGUAACCUACCUAUAAGACUGGGAUAACUUCGGGAAACCGGAGCUAAUACCGGAUAAUAUUUCGAACCGCAUGGUUAGAUAGUGAAAGAUGGCUUUGCUAUCACUUAUAGAUGGACCUGCGCCGUAUUAGCUAGUUGGUAAGGUAACGGCUUACCAAGGCAACGAUACGUAGCCGACCUGAGAGGGUGAGCGGCCACACUGGAACUGAGACACGGUCCAGACUCCUACGGGAGGCAGCAGUAGGGAAUCUUCCGCAAUGGGCGAAAGCCUGACGGAGCAACGCCGCGUGAGUGAUGAAGGUCUUCGGAUCGUAAAACUCUGUUAUUAGGGAAGAACAAACGUGUAAGUAACUGUGCACGUCUUGACGGUACCUAAUCAGAAAGCCACGGCUAACUACGUG